GGGGAUGUGGCUCAGCGGUAGAGUGCUCACCUCACAUAUGAGAGACACUGGGUUCGAUCCUCAGCACCA
rnacentral:tRNA from 1 species